rnacentral:lncRNA from 1 species
GUCUUGUUUUAUUUAUUUCCCACUCGAUUACAGAGAGCCUUUGAGUUCAGCCACAGAGACACAGAAACACAGUGGAAGCGGCUGUCAUACAGACACAGCUCCUGUACCAAGAAAAUCUUUGAAUAAUAAUCAUGUAAACUCAAACAUGGAGACACGAUUACUGAUGUUUUUGUAGAACUCUUCACAAUAAAUAAACCUGAUUUAUUUCUCAACAUCAUCUGAGUCUUCAUACAUAUCCACCAACAUCGUUCCUUAUAGCCAUCAUUCUCAAUACAUUAGCUCCUCCCACAUGUGGCGUCAAACUCAGGAACAUGUUUUUGACAGACGACGAGCAGUGAAUUUGGCAAAAGAGGGGCGGGGCAUGUGAAUCAUCAUGUUGGUGUUUCUUCUCAUUUCUCCUGCUGUUUUCAUGUUUUCAAUUCUUUGUUUUAAAUGUAAAGUUUUUAAAUACCUUAAUUUCCUUUUUCCAGUUAAAGUUUUUAAAAAAUGCAGUUUAGUCGAAUAAAAUAAAGUGAUAAUCUGGAAUAUAAUCUGAGAGUCAUCCUUCAGAUCAGUUUUAAACUUUUAAGUUUGUUUGUCAUGAAGGAGGACUUCCCCUCUGCAGGUCCAGAACCUUCAGGAGGUUCUGAGGAGAGCAGAGACGGUGAGAUCUUCACGGUUGGAGUCCUGUGUGGACUUGUUUGUUGAAGCGGCGUCGGAAGUGGAGGGAACCACCACUCACUUCCUGUCUCAGGGGUUUUGGGUGAGAGGGACAGUUCCUCAGCUGCAGACGAGCUGCUGCCGCAGACGAGAUGCAGUUCACGUCUGUUCACAUGCUGGGAUGGAGACAUGCAAACUCUACUUUCUGCUGCUUCUUCUCACCAACGCUGAAGGAUUUCGAGAACGGCUCCAGAAGAUCCUUCAUCAUCAGCCGGAUGUGAUUCCAGUUUGCAGAAACGAUUCGAGUAACGUCAUCCUACUGAUAGUCUGCUUGAUCCACACUGAGGGGGGGUUCUGCCGCCUGACCUUCAGACCUGGACGCACCUCUGACCCUGAAUGUGGCUCCAAGGUCCAGAUGAUGGUGGAGAAGCAGACGGUGUUCCUGCAGCUGAGCUCUCUGGGAGCAGAGGACAGCGGGAACAGCAGCUGUCAGUGUUCUCGUGCUGAAGGAGUCACCAUCGUGGAGCUGAACAUCACCGUGGUUACCACAGGGAAUAGAACCGUCGACUCGUUUCCAUCUAAAUUCCAACUAACUAUUUUUCUCGUGGUGCUGGUUCUGGUUCUGGUGCUGGCUUCAGGAGUGCUGCUGUUUCUACAGAUGAUCGUCACUCAGAAAAGGAGGGAGAACGUCCGUCUGGAGCUGCCUUUGCAGCGUUCACCCAGCAGGAGGCGACAGAGACCCAACAGCGGCCCUCCGCAGACGGUGGUGGAGGACGUUGAGCCGUACGACGAGUUCCAGCAGAAGGAGAACGUUCUGUAUUCAUCCUCCAGAGCCCACAGUUGCAGCACCAUCAGCGAUGUUCUCACCUGAAGCCGUACAUCACAUUCAGAGAACUUUCUCUGUUUCUGUUUGAAUGACAGAAUCAUUCCUCGAGGAGAAGGUGUCUCUGAUUCUACUGCUUGACCUUCUUUGUUUAAAGCUGCAGCUUCAGACAGGAAGUCAGCUGCUCCAUCUGACUUCCUGUCUGAACUUCCUGAUCUCACGGCUGCAUCACUUUCUCCUCUUUCACUUCUUGAAGCUAAUCUUUGAAGUGGGUGUACCCCUCAGAGGAUUCGCGUGUUUUGACUAGGGCUGCCACAAACGAUUAUUUUAAUAGUCGACUAAUCAUUGAUUAAUAUUUCCGAUUAGUCGACUAAUCGGAUCAUGGACAAAGUGGAUGUAAAGAAAAUCUGAAAUAUGAUUAGCUUUAAAACCAAAAAAUCCUAAAUAAGCUAAAAUCGCUAGCAUAUAGCUGAAAUAUUAGCUAAACUCCAAAUUAGUCUAAAAAACUGUAAAAAUUACAAAUUAGCCAAAAUAGCUAGCAUGUAGCUGAAGACAUAGCAAAACUCCAAAUUAGCCUAAAAAACUGUAAAAAUCCCAAAUUAGCCAAAAUAGCUAACAUAUAGCUGAAAUAUUAGCUAAACUCCAAAUUAGCCUAAAAAACUGUAAACAUUUAGAAUUAGCUAGCUAACAUGUAAAUGAAAUAUUAGCUAAACUCCUAAUUAGCCUAAAAAACUGUAAAAAAAAAAAUCCCAAAUUAGCUAAAAUAGUGUAAUAUUAGCUAAACUCCAAAUUAGCCUAAAAAACUGUAAACAUUUAGAAUUAGCUAGCUAACAUGUAAAUGAAAUAUUAGCUAAACUCCAAAUUUGCCUACAAAACUGAAAAAAUCCUAAAUUAGCCAAAAGAGCUAAUAUGUAGCUGAAAUAUUAUCUUAAUUCCAAAUUAGCCUAAAAAACUGAAAAAGCCUAAGUUAGCCAAAAUAGCAAAAUAGCUAGCAUGAAGCUAAAAUAUUAGCUAAACUCACUCCAAAAUAGCCUGAAAACCCUUAAUAAAUGCCAAAAUAGUCUAAAAAGCUAGCAGAAUGUCAUUAUAACUUUCAACUUUACUACAGCCUAACUCCAUAUAUUAUAAAGUAACGACUAAUCGACUAUUAAAUUAGUUGUCGACUAUUUUAAUAGUCGAUUAGUCAUCGAUUCGUCGACUAAUCGUGGCAGCCCUAGCUUUGACUAAAGUCAGAGUUUGGUUAAGGCCCGAUCCGAACUCUUCCUCCAUGCUCCUCCAUUCGAGGAGGCUUGUUAAGUGCAAGUGGUGUCCAAAAUAGUUAUUUGAACAUUCUCCCCUCCAGGCAGAGGGGUACAGAACCCCCCUCGCGAGGGGGUUCCACGCCGCGCUACGCCGGCGACUGUUAGUGACAUCAUCAAGUGGAAAUCUGAGACACUAUUUGUCCAUGACUCUGUUUGGAGGAGAAUGGAAGAAUUAUUUCUCUUCAUCACUGACAAACUUUAGGUAAAUACAAGAUUUUAAAUGUAUUUAUUUCAUUACUUACAGCCAUCUAAAGCUGUUUUUAAAUGUCUCGGUGGAUUUGCACCUCAACCACUCUCUACACUUGUGAAAAGACUAGAAACUUCCAGACCAACAACAGCUGCUGCAAAUGGAGACUGCAAAGUCCCGAUUCAUCGAACAUCUUUUUACAAAAUAUAUUUUCAGUGAAAGGAGUCGAUCUAAAAAAAACUGACUAAAGUGUCCAUCUUUAAAAAGCAAAUUACAUUCUAGUUCUCAGAGAAACACAUUGUGUAAAAUCUGUUUUCUGGCUUUGUGAAGUGUGUAGUAGGAGUAUGGUUGAAUACAUUUUCUACUUGUUUUUUAUGGUUAUCAAUGAAUUUCUACAGUUUUUUGUGUUUUACUCUUUGUAUUUUCUUUUCACUGUUUAACUUUUUUCAGUAGAAAUCUCCACUGGGUUCAGCUGUCGAGUCACAAACAGAGUCUGGCAUACAUGCA